rnacentral:lncRNA from 1 species
CACCCCCCUCCCCACCCCCGCCCCAAACUUGGCAGAGCACCGCUCAGGAAUUUCAAAGGUAAGGAAAUAUAUUUUAAGCAAGUUAAGCACAGAGAAAAAGGACAGUACAGUUUCUGAAUAAAUACACACCCAGACCACUGCAUCGCUUACUGCAUCAAGAUCUAAACAAGUAGCGAGAACUAAGCCUGUUCAGUAAGAAGCAAAGCCAUUGUUUGACACAUCAAUGCUGAGCCAAUUGUGAGUUAACUAAUUAAACAAAUGUGAUACAUAUAACCAUUGAUAAAUUGAAAGGAAAUACAGUCAUAUAUCAGUAACUAGAAAUUAAUACAAAACUGAAGAGAGCAAUAAAGGACCACUUUUGAGAGGGCUACCAUGAUUCUUAUGCUUUAGGGUGGAAAGUGACAGACAUACAAAUAGGGACAUUAUCUCAAUUUGGGGAGACUUUUAACAAAAACAACUACUAGGAGGCAUCAAACUAUGCCUUCCGAAAGCUGAAUAUAUCCAACGCUACUGUGCCAAGAGAGUCAUAUCACUUGGUGUUUGCAUAUACUCUUCAUAAUGUGGUUUGUUUCUGAUGACACAACUUCUCAUUUCAGUACAACGCUACUAAAUUUUUACCACUGCAAAGAAAAUGCAGAAAUGUCAUUUCUUAUGCUUUGAAAGUAAAAAUUACUAAAAACAUUCCAUUUCUUCGGUGUCAUAAUGUUUGUUGAACAAAACUUCAACAUGCUUGUUUUCCUUUGGUUCCAAGAAUAACCCAAGUCUAACCAAACAAACUUAUGCCAAAAGAAGUGACUAACUAGGCUAAUGAAGCUUGCUUUCCCUGGAAUCUCCCUAUUUCUUAUAGAAUUUGUGAUUGUUUAACAGAGAAACUUCCACAAAGAAGGUAUUUGGUUAAAAACAAGAAACAAGCAUGUUUACUUACUACUUUCCUGAAAAGAACUGCCUUUUUUUUUCCUUUAUGUAGAUCUUGCUCAAAACAUCCUGUAGUACAAAGAACUUGUUUCUUUUAAGCUCA